CUGAGUCAGGUAAAUCCACUACAUGCCUUGUGUCUUCUUCAUCCAAAUGGGUUAUUGAUUCUGGUGCGACAGAUCACAUGACAGGAUCUUACGACGAAGCAGAUUAUUGGUAGAGGACGCGAGUCAGGUGGUCUCUACAUUCUGGAAAAUCAUAUACCGCGGUCACUUGUUUGCUCCAGUACCUUAACACCUCUUGAAGCUCAUUGUAGAUUGGGUCAUCCUUCUUUGUCUACCAUGAAGAAGCUGUGUCCUCAAUUUCAGUCUUUAUCAGUACUAGAAUGUGAGUCGUGUCAGUUUGCAAAACAUCAUCGUUUGC